AUGAACGCUGGCGGCGUGCUUAACACCUGCAAGUCGAACGGUGAAGGCGGAGCUUGCUCUGCUGGAUCAGUGGCGAACGGGUGAGUAACACGUGAGCAAUCUGCCCCUGACUCUGGGAUAAGCGCUGGAAACGGCGUCUAAUACUGGAUACGAGCUGCGAAGGCAUCUUCAGCAGCUGGAAAGAAUUUCGGUCAGGGAUGAGCUCGCGGCCUAUCAGCUUGUUGGUGAGGUAAUGGCUCACCAAGGCGUCGACGGGUAGCCGGCCUGAGAGGGUGACCGGCCACACUGGGACUGAGACACGGCCCAGACUCCUACGGGAGGCAGCAGUGGGGAAUAUUGCACAAUGGGCGAAAGCCUGAUGCAGCAACGCCGCGUGAGGGACGACGGCCUUCGGGUUGUAAACCUCUUUUAGCAGGGAAGAAGCGAAAGUGACGGUACCUGCAGAAAAAGCGCCGGCUAACUACGUG
rnacentral:rRNA from 1 species